rnacentral:rRNA from 1 species
GAUGAACGCUGGCGGCGUGCCUAAUACAUGCAAGUCGAGCGAACAGAUGAGGAGCUUGCUCCUCUGACGUGUGCGGCGCACGGGUGAGUAACAUGUGGAUAACCUACCUAUAAGACUGUGAUAACUCCGGGAAACCGGAGCUAAUACCGGAUAACAUAUUGAACAGCAGGGGUACCUAGUGAAAUACGGCUUUGCUGUCACCUGUAGAUGGAUCGGCGCCGGAUUAGCUAGUUGGUAUGGUAACGGCUUACCAAGGCAACGAUGAGUAGCCGACCUGAGAGGGUGAUCGGCCACACUGGAACUGAGACACGGUCCAGACUCCUACGGGAGGCAGCAGUAGGGAAUUUUGCGCAAUGGGCGAAAGCCUGACGGAGCAACGCCGCGUGUGUGAUGAAGGUCUUCGGGUCGUAAAGCUCUGUUGUCAGGGAAGAACAAAUUUGUAAGUAACUAUGCACGUCUUGACGGUACCUGAUGAGAAAGCCACGGCUAACUACGUG